GAUGAACGCUGGCGGCGUGCCUAAUACAUGCAAGUCGAGCGAAUGGAUUAAGAGCUUGCUCUUAUGAAGUUAGCGGCGGACGGGUGAGUAACACGUGGGUAACCUGCCCAUAAGACUGGGAUAACUCCGGGAAACCGGGGCUAAUACCGGAUAACAUUUUGAACCGCAUGGUUCGAAAUUGAAAGGCGGCUUCGGCUGUCACUUAUGGAUGGACCCGCGUCGCAGUUAGCUAGUUGGUGAGGUAACGGCUUACCAAGGCAACGAUGCGUAGCCGACCUGAGAGGGUGAUCGGCCACACUGGGACUGAGACACGGCCCAGACUCCUACGGGAGGCAGCAGUAGGGAAUCUUCCGCAAUGGACGAAAGUCUGACGGAGCAACGCCGCGUGAGUGAUGAAGGCUUUCGGGUCGUAAAACUCUGUUGUUAGGGAAGAACAAGUGCUAGUUGAAUAAGCUGGCACCUUGACGGUACCUAACCAGAAAGCCACGGCUAACUACGUGCCAGCCGCCGCCGUAA
rnacentral:rRNA from 1 species